CAGUCGCCGCGGGAAUACGUAGGGUGCAAGCGUUGUCCGGAAUUAUUGGGCGUAAAGAGCUCGUAGGCGGUUUGUCGCGUCUGCUGUGAAAUCUGGGGGCUCAACCCCCAGCCUGCAGUGGGUACGGGCAGACUAGAGUGCGGUAGGGGAGAUUGGAAUUCCUGGUGUAGCGGUGGAAUGCGCAGAUAUCAGGAGGAACACCGAUGGCGAAGGCAGAUCUCUGGGCCGUAACUGACGCUGAGGAGCGAAAGCAUGGGGAGCGAACAGGAUUAGAUACCCGCGUAGUCCCUGUCUCUUAUAC
rnacentral:rRNA from 1 species